rnacentral:precursor_RNA from 7 species
UCAGUGGGGCAGCAGGUGGGGUAGGUAGCAGGUACCAUUGACUAAAGCUAGUACUAUAGGCUUGCCUCUAGCUUUGGUGGAUGGUCUUUGCUAAGUUCUCUGCCAACCCAGCAGUGAGA